GACGAACGCUGGCGGCGUGCUUAACACAUGCAAGUCGAACGGAAAGGCCCUGCUUUUGUGGGGUGCUCGAGUGGCGAACGGGUGAGUAACAAGUGAGUAACCUACCCUUGGCUUUGGGAUAACUUCAGGAAACUGGGGCUACUACCGGAUCGGAGCUCCUCCUGCCUGGUGGGGGUUGGAAAGUUUCGGCGGUCGGGGAUGGACUCGCGGCUUAUCAGCUUGUUGGUGGGGUAGUGGCUUACCAAGGCUUGGACGGGUCGCCGGCCUGAGAGGGUGACAGGCGACAUUGGGACUGAGAUACGGCACAGACUCCUACGGGAGGCAGCAGGGGGGAAUAUUGCACAAUGGGCGGAAGCCGGAUGCAGCAACGCCGCGUGCGGGAUGACGGCCUUCGGGUGGUAAACCGCUUUCGCCUGUGACGAAGCGUGAGUGACGGUAAUGGGUAAAGAAGCACCGGCUAACUACGUG
rnacentral:rRNA from 1 species